rnacentral:sRNA from 1 species
GCUGGGUAUAGUGGCACAUGCCUGUAAUCUCAGUGACUCUGGAGGCUGAGGCAGGAGAACUGCAAAUUUGAGGCCAGCCUCAGCAACACAGCAUGACCCUGUCUCAA